UAUCAGAUGAGCCUAGGUCGGAUUAGCUAGUUGGUGAGGUAAUGGCUCACCAAGGCUACGAUCCGUAACUGGUCUGAGAGGAUGAUCAGUCACACUGGAACUGAGACACGGUCCAGACUCCUACGGGAGGCAGCAGUGGGGAAUAUUGGACAAUGGGCGAAAGCCUGAUCCAGCCAUGCCGCGUGUGUGAAGAAGGUCUUCGGAUUGUAAAGCACUUUAAGUUGGGAGGAAGGGCAUUAACCUAAUACGUUAGUGUCUUGACGUUACCGACAGAAUAAGCACCGGCUAACUCUGUGCCAGCAGCCGCGGUAAUACAGAGGGUGCAAGCGUUAAUCGGAAUUACUGGGCGUAAAGCGCGCGUAGGUGGUUUGUUAAGUUGAAUGUGAAAUCCCCGGGCUCAACCUGGGAACUGCAUCCAAAACUGGCAAGCUAGAGUAUGGUAGAGGGUAGUGGAAUUUCCUGUGUAGCGGUGAAAUGCGUAGAUAUAGGAAGGAACAUCC
rnacentral:rRNA from 1 species